UGCACCGGAUCCCAUCAGAACUCCGCAGUGAAGCGUGCUUGGGCGAGAGUAGUACUGGGAUGGGUGACCUCCUGGGAAGUCCUCGUGUUGCACCCC
rnacentral:rRNA from 1 species